AAGCCCAAUGUAGGUAAUUACUUGGAAAUGGUAACAAGAGUUUUAGUUUUAGUUUUGUUUUUAAGGAAGUUGCCUUAGAAUCCCAGGAUAUUUCUCCGUGCAGCCAGUCUAAGGGAGGGAAUAUUUGUUUCAAAACGGUAACCCUGUAACUAACUAACCUUAUGGAAACAAUUGCUCACAUUCCUUAUCAUAAAUCUAGACUCAUACAGGAAAUAUCUAAUUCUUAGAAUAAAUAUUUACCCUCUCUCAAGUAGGAUAUUAUCACAAAGGACUUUCUACUGUGAUGAAAGCAAGGCCAUCCAGAUGCCCCCGAGCCUCGCCUGGCGCUCAGUGGGAGCCCUCUCAGGAGUGGCCUUGUGUCCGUGUGCUUGCUUGACCGACCUCAUGAGAGCAGACCGUGCACACCAGUAUUUUUCACAGGCUGAGGCGGGGCUACCGCUUCCCUUCGGUAUCGCACGUUUAAGAAGCCCAAGAGGUGCAGAAUGAGUCCACCGUGGGGACUGCCUAGAUCUCCCAGACUGAGUCGUUGGCACCGGGUACACAGUGUCUGCAACAGAGUUACUCCCAGCAGACAGCGAUUUAACUUGCUCAGAUUUAGGCCUUUCCAGCGAUAUUUUGCCUAACUUGGGUGCCCCUUUAAUACCUACGUGCAUCAUAAAUUUACCCUACGCCUGGGCUCUGUAAGAAUGAUAGCCACUCAUCCCUCAUGUGUCCACCCACGCGGGCAUACUGAGCACCUGGUCGUGAGCCAGGUCCUGGAGAGUUCGAGGCACCCAGCAGGGAACAAGUCAGAACUGGACAGGUGAAUCGAGUACCUGGAAACCCCCUACAGGUCUUAUCAUUAAACUGUAUUUUAAAAAGA